GACAGAGGGUGCAAACGUUGUUCGGAAUUACUGGGCGUAAAGCGUGUGUAGGCGGUCUGCUAAGUCGGGUGUGAAAGCCCACGGCUCAACCGUGGAAGUGCAUCCGAAACUGCAUAGCUUGAGUCUCGGAGAGGAAGGUGGAAUGCUUGGUGUAGAGGUGAAAUUCGUAGAUAUCAAGCAGAACACCUGCGGCGAAGGCGGCCUUCUGGACGAUGACUGACGCUGAGACGCGAAAGCGUGGGGAGCAAACAGG
rnacentral:rRNA from 1 species